rnacentral:rRNA from 2 species
UGCCCUAGUAACGGCGAGUGAAGCGGCAACAGCUCAAAUUUGAAAUCUGGCCUCGGCCCGAGUUGUAAUUUGUAGAGGAAGCUUUUGGCGCGGCACCUUCUGAGUCCCCUGGAACGGGGCGCCAUAGAGGGUGAGAGCCCCGUAUAGUUGGAUGCCUAGCCUCUGUAAAGCUCCUUCGACGAGUCGAGUAGUUUGGGAAUGCUGCUCAAAAUGGGAGGUAAAUUUCUUCUAAAGCUAAAUACCGGCCAGAGACCGAUAGCGCACAAGUAGAGUGAUCGAAAGAUGAAAAGCACUUUGAAAAGAGGGUUAAAUAGCACGUGAAAUUGUUGAAAGGGAAGCGCUUGUGACCAGACUUGCGCCGGGCUGAUCAUCCGGUGUUCUCACCGGUGCACUCUGCCCGGCUCAGGCCAGCAUCGGUUCUCGCGGGGGGACAAAGGCCCUGGGAACGUAGCUCCUCCGGGAGUGUUAUAGCCCAGGGCGUAAUGCCCUCGCGGGGACCGAGGUUCGCGCUCUGCAAGGAUGCUGGCGUAAUGGUCACCAGCGACCCGUCUUGAAACACGGACCAAGGAGUCAAGGUUUUGCGCGAGUGUUUGGGUGUAAAACCCGCACGCGUAAUGAAAGUGAACGUAGGUGAGAGCUUCGGCGCAUCAUCGACCGAUCCUGAUGUAUUCGGAUGGAUUUGAGUAGGAGCGUUAAGCCUUGGACCCGAAAGAUGGUGAACUAUGCUUGGAUAGGGUGAAGCCAGAGGAAACUCUGGUGGAGGCUCGCAGCGGUUCUGACGUGCAAAUCGAUCGUCAAAUCUGAGCAU